GCGGAAGGAUCAUUACCGAGUUUUCGAGCUUCGGCUCGACUCUCCCACCCUUUGUGAACGUACCUCUGUUGCUUUGGCGGCUCCGGCCGCCAAAGGACCUUCAAACUCCAGUCAGUAAACGCAGACGUCUGAUAAACAAGUUAAUAAACUAAAACUUUCAACAACGGAUCUCUUGGUUCUGGCAUCGAUGAAGAACGCAGCGAAAUGCGAUAAGUAAUGUGAAUUGCAGAAUUCAGUGAAUCAUCGAAUCUUUGAACGCACAUUGCGCCCCUUGGUAUUCCGGGGGGCAUGCCUGUUCGAGCGUCAUUACAACCCUCAAGCUCUGCUUGGAAUUGGGCACCGUCCUCACUGCGGACGCGCCUCAAAGACCUCGGCGGUGGCUGUUCAGCCCUCAAGCGUAGUAGAAUACACCUCGCUUUGGAGCGGUUGGCGUCGCCCGCCGGACGAACCUUCUGAACUUUUCUCAAGGUUGACCUCGGAUCAGGUAGGGAUACCCGCU
rnacentral:rRNA from 1 species